ensembl:lncRNA
UGGGAAUAUACUUCAAAUAUAUUUUUCUCAUAUGAAUUCAUAGGGGAGCCAAUAAUUGUUGCAUACCUAUAUUUAACAAAGAUAUUUUUAGAUACAUCUGUCUUGUGUUUGCAAUUGUUUGAUAUCCAUGAGAGCAGAGUAUUUUUGUGAAUUUCUUUUUUUAUUAUUUAUUUAUUUAUUUAUUUAUUUAUUUAUUUGUUUUUUACAAAAGAUCAAAAAGUUAAACAAUAAAGAAAAAUUUUCACAGCCAUCUUUGCUCAUAUUUACCAAGGGUGCCAAUAUUAGUGGAGGGCACUGUAUUUAAUUAAUAACAUCACUAAAUUUUACAAAUGGAGGACACUGGAGGAGAGCCUGAGACCCUGCUUAUUUUGAUGAGUUUUUAAAUCUUUUUUUUAUAAUGUAUGAUUUUUUUAACAACAUUUAAUGUGAGCCAAAACAUGGCAGAUGGUUGUUUGGUCAGCUUAUCCUUCAAACCAGUGGCAUGUUUUCUUUAUAUGAGAGUGCAUUCAACAGAAAUUUUAGCAUUAAGUUUUAAUUAAGACAAUUAGACAAUUGAAAGCAUGAUAAAAUAGUCUACAUCCUGCACACAUAUUAUGAUUUCAUGGCCUCUGUCUCAUGGUAUCAUUAAGUUGUGUGCAUGCGUAACAGUCGAAUUAUGAAAUUUAAAUGAAAAUGCUAAAUAAUAGCAUAUGAUGGAUCAAGUGCUAUUUUAUAAUCUGCUUAAUGGGUGGAAGCCAAUGAUUAGUGUGAUAAUUACACCUAGGUCCAUUCAUGCACCAAUAUAAUGGCAAUAUAAUAGAGGCCUAUUAUAUGUCAGUCUUUUUUUUCCAAUGCUUAUCAUUUUCUUAUUCACAUAUCACUCACAUCAUAUUAGAAAAUUUAUUUUGAAAUUAACUCUUGCUUUUAUUACAUUUGACAGCAAAAAUAUUUUCUAUUUAUAAAGUUAAUUUUUAAUUUGUCUUUUGCCUAAUUUGACAGGAAAGAAAAAAAAGUUAUUUUCUCUUUUCAGUCCUGAAUUUUAUUUUAUUUUUUCAGGCUUAAAGGCAAAUGAAUGUGUGUAAAGGCAGUAGUCUAGAUGCUACUGAAAAACUCAUUCUCAGAGUCGUCUAUUCAAGACAAAUCUGGCAAACUCAGAGGCAUGAUAACUUUAAAACUGAACUUGCAAAUUCUGAAUACAGCCCUUACUGACUGAUUUUGAAUUCUUACUUUUAUGUAUCAAGGAGCUACCAGUCAACUGUAUAUUGUAUUUGCUAUGUGCACUGGUCUCCACUACCUCAAAUCCUCAAACUGCUCAAAAACACAUUGUAAAGAAAAUGAAACUACUUAAUGGAGCUAAUAUGUAACUACAAGUUUGAAAAAUGUGUACUAAAUAAGCAAAUCAGCAUGGUCUGAUGAGAGAGGGGCAUUUCUGCAAAAGAUAUGAGCUGUCAAUCAUUUCUUAUAGCCUAGUGCUAUAAUAUUACUUUUAACAUGAACAAGUAUGAUUAUUAAAUUUACCGUCACCGCGACAUGCCAGUCACAGAAAAUGAUCUUGCUUUGUGAAAUAUGGAUAUAAAAGAGUCUGAAUAAUAAGCUUCAUGGGUUUUUUUUUAUUUAUUUUUUUAUUAUACUCCUGUAAUGUUCAUAUGAAUGCAGAGUGAUUUGAGGCCCUGAUUUAUUUUUGGUGCUUUCUGUUCAUUAUUCUCCUGAGAAAUGAUUGUAUUGUUGAAAUCAAGUAUAAAAAAUGUUCUUUGUGAAUUACCAUCGUAAGGAAUUUCAGAAGUUGUUGACUGUAUUUCCAAGUUCAUUUAUACUGUGUUUGUUACAAGUAUCCAGAAAUACUUGGAAAAUGAUAUGAAGCAAAUAAAACCAAAAUAAAAUACAUAAACAGCACCCAGUCUUUUAGACUCUCAAUA